AUAGAACCGCUAGUAGAAAAUGUU
rnacentral:miRNA from 1 species